AAGGAGUUGUGGCAGACAAUGGUGUCUUAAUCCUGUGACAAUGGCGUCAGCCUCCGAGCACGGCCAAAGCGUGCGGCCCGAGGACCUGGGCAUUCUUAAGAAUGUGAGUAAGAUACAACAGCCCGGUGCCAGCAGGGACUGCUCAGAUGGCGAGGCUGCUUUCUUUUGCACCUGACACAGAUUGGCAUGCCCACCUGUCUGAGAGAUGAGUAGAGGGCUGUGACCCGCAGAGGGGAUG